rnacentral:rRNA from 1 species
AUGAACGCUGGCGGCGUGCCUAAUACAUGCAAGUCGAGCGAACGGACGAGAAGCUUGCUUCUCUGAUGUUAGCGGCGGACGGGUGAGUAACACGUGGAUAACCUACCUAUAAGACUGGGAUAACUUCGGGAAACCGGAGCUAAUACCGGAUGAUAUUUUGAACCGCAUGGUUCAAAAGUGAAAGACGGUCUUGCUGUCACUUAUAGAUGGAUCCGCGCUGCAUUAGCUAGUUGGUAAGGUAACGGCUUACCAAGGCAACGAUGCAUAGCCGACCUGAGAGGGUGAUCGGCCACGCUGGAACUGAGACACGGUCCAGACUCCUACGGGAGGCAGCAGUAGGGAAUCUUCCGCAAUGGGCGAAAGCCUGACGGAGCAACGCCGCGUGAGUGAUGAAGGUCUUCGGAUCGUAAAACUCUGUUAUUAGGGAAGAACAUAUGUGUAAGUAACUGUGCACAUCUUGACGGUACCUAAUCAGAAAGCCACGGCUAACUACGUG